rnacentral:rRNA from 1 species
GCAAAACGCGAAGAACCUUACCCACCUUUGACAUGUACGGAAUCCUUUAGAGAUAGAGGAGUGCUCGAAAGAGAGCCGUAACACAGGUGCUGCAUGGCUGUCGUCAGCUCGUGUCGUGAGAUGUUGGGUUAAGUCCCGCAACGAGCGCAACCCUUGCCAUUAGUUGCUACGAAAGGGCACUCUAAUGGGACUGCCGGUGACAAACCGGAGGAAGGUGGGGAUGACGUCAAGUCCUCAUGGCCCUUAUAGGUGGGGCUACACACGUCAUACAAUGGCUGGUACAGAGGGUUGCCAACCCGCGAGGGGGAGCUAAUCCCACAAAGCCAGUCGUAGUCCGGAUCGCAGUCUGCAACUCGACUGCGUGAAGUCGGAAUCGCUAGUAAUCGCGGAUCAGAAUGUCGCGGUGAAUACGUUCCCGGGUCUUGUACACACCG